rnacentral:misc_RNA from 1 species
GGUUUAAAUACCCAAAUUUGAG